rnacentral:rRNA from 1 species
CCUACGGGAGGCAGCAGUGAGGAAUAUUUGUCAAUGGGCGCGAGCCUGAACCAGCCAAGUAGCGUGAAGGAUUGCUGCCCUACGGGUUGUAAACUUCUUUUAUAAAGGAGUAAAGUGAGGCACGUGUGCCUUUUUGUAUGUACUUUAUGAAUAAGGAUCGGCUAACUCCGUGCCAGCAGCCGCGGUAAGACGGAGGAUCCGAGCGUUAUCCGGAUUUAUGGGGUUUAAAGGGAGCGUAGAUGGGUUGUUAAGGGAGUUGUGAAAGUUUGCGGCUCAACCGUAAAAGUGCAAUUGAUACUGGCAGACUAGAGUACAGUUGAGGGAGGCGGAAUUCGUGGUGUAGCAGUGAAAUGCUUAGAUAUCACGAAGAACUCCGAUUGCGAAGGCAGCUUACUAAAUUGCCACUGACAUUGAUGCUCGAAAGUGAGGGUAGCAAAAAGGAUUAGAUACCCGAGUAGUC